AUUUAUCACGGUGCCUAUACCACGUGACUUUUUAAGAUCUGUGUGGGGAGUAAAAUAUCAACAAAAGCGCGACGAAGGUAUGGCUCAAUGCUCCGAAUGCGGAAAAAUGUCGAAGACCAGAGCUGGAUUAUUGCGCCACAUUAGGGGACACGCUAACUCUGGAAACAAUAACUGCUGUGGGAAAGCAUUUCAGGAUGCCUACAAUCUUAGAAGGCUUCAACGAACAAAGGACCCCAAUGUCACGUGUGUGUACAGUGCGGCAGGAGCUUUGCGGACAAGUACCUACUCGUGGCUAGAGAGAAAAGUGCAAAAAAGAGGGAUUGGUGAAAUGUUACCAGUGUGGGUUGGCAGUUAGGAGUGAGAAUGACCUCAGAGAGCACGUCAAUACCCACAUGCAUGACAAGUGUUUCAGUAGU